rnacentral:rRNA from 1 species
CCUACGGGAGGCAGCAGUGGGGGAUAUUGCACAAUGGGGGGAACCCUGAUGCAGCGACGCCGCGUGGGUGAAGAAGCGCCUCGGCGCGUAAAGCCCUGUCAGCCGGGAAGAAAAUGACGGUACCUGCCGAAGAAGCCCCGGCUGACUACGUGCCAGCAGCCGCGGUCAUGCGUAGGGGGCCAGCGUUAUCCGGAUUUACUGGGUGUAAAGGGGGCGCAGACGGCGAUGCAAGCCAGGAGUGAAAGCCCGGGGCCCAACCCCGGGACUGCGCUUGGAACUGCGUGGCUGGAGUGGAGGAGGGGCAGGCGGAAUGCCGGGGGUAGCGGGGAAAUGCGGAGAUAUCAGGAGGAACACCGGUGGCGAAGGCGGCAUGCUGGACUGCAACGGACGUUGAGGCCCGAAAGCGUGGGGAGCAAACAGGAUUAGAGACCCCAGUAGUC